CCAAUGAAGUUUUCGCAUAAGCGAUAGUUAAAGCUGCAUAUUUUAAACACAGCUUAAAUAAACGAAACCGUCUGGUAACGGCCUAAGCUAACCUUCAUCAACUUCACCACUUGGCAGCACUGCACUUUGACAAGUCAAUAAAAGUGUAACUGUUGAAUGCCGUUAAGUGAAAAAUUGAACCGCAAUUUUAAAAAAAUCUGCGAUUUCAGCACAGCGAAGCUAAAUUUCAAUCAAAUCACUUCUCGAAAUCAAAAAGUGUUUCCAACAUUUCAUUCAAACUGCCAUAUUCAGCACAUUUUGGCCUCAGCAGACUUCCUGUCCCCAGUGCCACUCGAGUACACACACAAACACAUCGAGGCAGGCAUAUAAACCGCCGCACAAUGCGAAAUGGAUCGAGUAUGGGCAAUAAAAUGUCAACUGGCAUUUAAAAGAGACUUAACUAUUUAAAUAAUCAAAUGGCCACGCAACGGAAUGGUUUGAUCCAACGAUGUGCCCCUUUGCAUUUUGCCGAAUUCAAAGCGCCCUGACGACACCAGCCGCCGAUUUUCUGAUAAUGCGAAGAUUCAACAAUAUUAGUGAUGUCACGAUUCGGAUAAGCCUGUAAGAAAAGGAAUAGAGGAAUUCGGUUGGAAGCGCACAUCUGCACCCUGCACACCCACACACACGCAAACAAGCAUGAAGGACCCGCCCGCCAUGUGAGUGAAGGACAAAGGGACGAUGUGGAAUGGAAUCGAGUUGCCGGCGGCGGCGCACACGAACACCACGUGCUGCUACAACAACAACGACAGUAAGCAACAACAAAAGCAAGAGCAUUUAUCAGCUCUUUAUUAAAAGAAGGAAGGUUCGUGGGUGCCUGGCGGCGUGAAGGACGUUGGCUGGCUUUAAAGCGCGCAGCGGAGGCGCCGCUUGUCUGUCUUCUUGUCUUCAAUUUCAAAAUUCGAAAAUUUACUUUCUUUUUAUAUUUCGUUGGUCUCAAGCGCUGCAGAAACACACCUGUUUACUCCUUCACCGCCCACCAGCAUAAUCGAUUGGAAAUUCGCUUCUACUCCGCAUACAGUGCGCUCCAAAAGUAGAGCAGCUAUGCAUGUGCUUGUACGUGUUGUUGUUGUUGUUGUGUUGUUGUAAGUUGGCAUUAGUAAAUAUUGGGCAUGCGGGGCUCCCGCUCUGCCUGCCGGGGUCUGUUGACAGUUUUACGACACGACACCGUUUUCGGCACACCGGAAGUUGUGUGUUGCAGCCAAGAAAGCGACUUCCUGCCUCAUUUAACUGCUCAUUGCGCUUUUCUAUGUCGCCCACACGCUCCUGUGGCUUCGGCUGUUGUUGUUGUUUUUUAUUUAUUUAUUUUUCAGCUCGAAUUUUGGUCACUCGCUCGCCUUUGACGCCUGCUCGCCAGAAAGUGGCGGUGUCUGCAUGUCUCAGCGGCAGCGUCGAAUCAAUUACCUCCGCUGCUUUGCGCGGCCUCACUUAACCUUUUUAUAAACACUAUUUGGCUAAAUGCGAAAUCAAUUAUGAAAGCGGAAAUAAUUAACGGAAGAAUCGACGAAGCUUACAGCAACGCCCAGUAUUCAUUCAUAAUUUAACGUCGAACGAGAACAAUAUUAACGAAUAUUAGCAAAAACUCCGCAUAUUUCAUUUGAACCAACGAAAAUGAACAAUUUUUGAGCUCAAACUGAAGAAUAUGCACAUCUCUAAAGAAAAGAAAGUUAUUUUAUUUAAGAAAAAUUGCAAAUCCACUCCACACAAUGUUUAGUGUAUAAGACCAAUCAAGUAAAACACAUAAAUAAUAA
rnacentral:lncRNA from 1 species